rnacentral:rRNA from 1 species
UACGAAGGGGGCUAGCGUUGCUCGGAAUUACUGGGCGUAAAGGGCGCGUAGGCGGCUUGGCAAGUCGGGUGUGAAACCUCCAGGCUCAACCUGGAGACGCCACUCGAUACUGCCAUGGCUAGAGUCCGGUAGGGGACCACGGAAUUCCUGGUGUAGCGGUGAAAUGCGCAGAUAUCAGGAGGAACACCGGUGGCGAAGGCGGUGGUCUGGGCCGGCACUGACGCUGAGGAGCGAAAGCGUGGGUAGCAAACAGG